GACGAACGCUGGCGGCGUGCCUAACACAUGCAAGUCGAGCGGAGGUACUUGAGGAGUAAUCUGAGGGUACUUUAGCGGCGGACGGGUGAGUAACGCGUGAGCAACCUGCCUUUCACAGGGGGAUAAGGCGGCGAAAGCCGCUCUAAUACCGCAUGAGACCACGGGGAUGAUAUUCCAGGGGUCAAAGGAGCAAUCCGGUGAGAGAUGGGCUCGCGUCCGAUUAGGUAGUUGGUGAGGUAACGGCCCACCAAGCCAAUGAUCGGUAGCCGGCCUGAGAGGGUGAACGGCCACAUUGGAACUGAGAGACGGUCCAAACUCCUACGGGAGGCAGCAGUGGGGAAUAUUGGGCAAUGGGGGAAACCCUGACCCAGCAACGCCGCGUGAGGGAAGAAGGUUUUCGGAUUGUAAACCUCUGUUCUUGGAGAAGAGAAGAAGACGGUAUCCAAGGAGGAAGCCCCGGCUAACUACGUGCCAGCAGCCGCGGUAAGACGUAGCGUG
rnacentral:rRNA from 1 species